rnacentral:lncRNA from 1 species
CCCCCCUUAAAAGAUUUAGAUGCACUAUUGUAAAGUGGUUGUUCCACUGGAUAUCAUAAGGUGAAUGCACCAAUUUGUAAGUCGCUCUGGAUAAGAGCGUCUGCUAAAUGACUUAAAUGUAAUGUAAAUGUUUGUUGGUAACGGUCGUGAGCAUCAGAUAAAUGCUCGAGCUCUAACAUUAUUGAAAACAGACAACUCUUUUUUUUGAAAAUAUUGUAUCCAGUAUAAGAAAACAUGAAUAUUAUUAUUUUUUUUUUAUAUGAAUUAAUAUAACGAUGGUGCAGUAAAACCGUCCUGUUUUGUUGAUACGGGAUUUCCAUGGUUACUAAAAUUGCGGCGCGUCCUCUGAAGUUGAGUGGCACAUCAAAUGCUUGCUAGUUAGCAAACUAACGUUAGCUCAUUACUUCGAAGUUUGACAAAGAAAAUAACCGGUUGAAAAUACUGAAACGAGUUGCCUAGCUGGUAUCUCUGGCAAUUAUGUAAUAUUUUGAGGCAUUAUCGGACUCGGAGUCUGAACCUGAUGACUCACAGUUCAGUCGAUGAGCCCCAAUUUAGUUCUGAAAGGGACGAUGAGUAAUUGUUACAAUCAACCGAAGUCAUCCAGAAUGGUGGAAAGGGUAAAGGCAUUGAAUUUGGCCGUCAUGUCAACAAACGACAGGCACGGAAAUGUGUUUCUCUCAACUGAGUUUUGCAAACCAAAGAAGAUGGGAGUUGACGUGUCUGUUUUCAUCAGAGAUAAACUAGGCCAAACUGCGAGAUAAACUAGGCCAAACUGCGAGAUUGUAUAAACAUUGGUAUCAGUCAUUCUUGGUAAGUGUCAAUAUUCGCCUCAAAUAUUAAUGAACGAACCUAUUAGCUAAUUAAGCAAUAUGGCACGGGGAGGUGUGGUAACUGGCCAAUAUAAGACUGCUAAGGGCUGUUCUCAUCACGACGCAACGUGGAGUGCCUGGACACAGCCCUUAACCGUGGUAUAUUGGCCAUAUACCACAAACCCCUGGUUACCAACUACCAAUUUGAGCAGUAAAAAUAAAUGUUUUGUCAUAUGCGUUGUAUACGGUCUGAAAUACCACGUCUGUCAGCUGAUCAGCAUUCAGGGCUCGGAACUACCCAGUUCAUACCAACUCCCCCAAAAGAAACUCAGUCCAGCUUUAAACUUACUCUUGAAAGUUGUAAUAGUAGAAUGCACAAGGUGCAAUUUCUAAAUUGGGUAGUGCAUCAUCAGUUCAUCUUGUAAUGUUAGUCAUACCUUAGAGAGCUAUUUAUAGAAAUGUCCAGAUCAACUACCCCUCAGCUAACGUCUUUUUAGCCCAUAGGUAUUGCUGUAAACAUUUUGUUGGUUUUAUCUGUCAGGAUCUGUAUUAUUUCUAUUUCAAGUUCUUCAUCAAAGCACCAUCCUAUUUGUAUUGGCUCCACCUGAUCAUGGAGUACCCUCUUGUGAUCAAUGCUCUGAAGAGGCUCAAUCUGUUCUCAGAGGAAGUGGAGGAGUUGGAACUAUCUGGUAUUACUUUGCUAGCAAGAAUUUAUCAUUUUGUAAAUAUGCAAGUGCAGAUAUUUAUUUAUUUCACCAAACAAAGACAAAGGAGAAACAAUGGCUAUCAAACUUUGCUUUGGCUGGGGUCGUGGAAGCUGCAGGCAUGGUGAUUUGAGCUAUCCAAUUGGCCAGUGCUGUAGGCACACUCAAGAGUUUCUUUUCAGACAAAUGAAAUGGUCCAAAAGGGAAACACUUUGCUUACCCGGUGCGCAGGGCUUCUGAAUCAAGUGAACAUACCGCCAACAGCGCAAAAAAAAUGUAUGUUUGGUGAUCAACUAUGAAUGCCUAGAAGAUCGACCAGUCGAUGACCACUGGUUUGUUGUAAGCCAUGACAAGUAGUGGCAUGAUGGCACAAACAGACAGGUACCCAGGCUAGUUUAUCCCUAUGGUACUCCAUAAAACCAUGGUCUUUGGUAUCUUUGGGGUCCUUUCCAGAGGCAGUUGUCUUGGAGGUGUCAUCAACGUCCUGGGUCUCUUCAACCAUGGAGAGAGCACUUGGGUCAUGUGGACUCCACCGCUGAGGGAGAGCUUCUCCUAUCCCUUCUUUGUCCUGCAGAUGCUGCUGUGAACACACAUUCUCGGGCAUUCCAACCCUGGAGGAAGAUCCCUAGUAAUUAUUGGUGCUUGCAAUGUGUUGUUCCUUCUUCCUUGGCCAUUUGCCCAGUUUGUCUUGCUAACUCAGGUUGCAUGUCUGUUUGCCUGUUAUUUGAUGGGCUUUCUCCACUGCCAAGAUGACGUCACUACUUGUUGUGCACCUGGCUUCACUUGCCAUCUGCUUUAUUAUGUUGUUUGAGAAUUUGGCACUUUGACAUCUUUUUACACUUUUUCCUUGGUUGCUGGUUGGUUCUGCGAUCUGGGACAUGGAGGAUCAGGAGAAUGGGAAAGUUGUCGCUAUGUACCCUCCUGUCCAUCAACUCCCCACCUCACUUCACCACAAUGUUCGAGAACAAAGUCUACAAAGUGCUGAAAAUCCCCAAAGCUGCCAAAUAUUACCUUUUUAAUAUAG